AGUGAACGCUGGCGGUAGGCCUAACACAUGCAAGUCGAACGGCAGCACAGGAGAGCUUGCUCUCUGGGUGGCGAGUGGCGGACGGGUGAGGAAUACAUCGGAAUCUACUCUGUCGUGGGGGAUAACGUAGGGAAACUUACGCUAAUACCGCAUACGACCUACGGGUGAAAGCAGGGGACCUUCGGGCCUUGCGCGAUUGAAUGAGCCGAUGUCGGAUUAGCUAGUUGGGGGGGUAAAGGCCCACCAAGGCGACGAUCCGUAGCUGGUCUGAGAGGAUGAUCAGCCACACUGGAACUGAGACACGGUCCAGACUCCUACGGGAGGCAGCAGUGGGGAAUAUUGGACAAUGGGCGCAAGCCUGAUCCAGCCAUACCGCGUGGGUGAAGAAGGCCUUCGGGUUGUAAAGCUCUUUUGUUGGGAAAGAAAUCCAGCUGGCUAAUACCCGGUUGGGAUGACGGUACCCAAGGAAUAAGCACCGGCUAACUUCGUGCCAGCCGCCGCGGUAA
rnacentral:rRNA from 1 species